rnacentral:rRNA from 1 species
UCGACGAGUCGAGUUGUUGGGAAUGCAGCUCUAAUUGGGUGGUAAAUUUCAUCUAAAGCUAAAUACUGGCCGGAGACCGAUAGCGAACAAGUAGAGUGAUCGAAAGGUUAAAAGCACCUUGAAAAGGGAGUUAAAUAGCACGUGAAAUUGUUGAAAGGGAAGCGCUUGCAGCCAGACUCGGGUGCGGAGGCUCAGCGGGCAUGUUUGCCCGUGUACUCCUUCGCGCCCGGGCCAGCAUCAGUUUUGGCGGUCGGUCAAAGGCCCUCGGAAUGUGUCGUCCUCCGGGACGUCUUAUAGCCGAGGGUGCAAUGCGGCCAGCUGGGACUGAGGAACGCGCUUCGGCACGGAUGCUGGCAUAAUGGCUGUAAGCGGCCCGUCUUGAAACACGGACCAAGGAGUCUAACAUCCACGCGAGUGUUCGGGUGUCAAACCCGUACGCGCAGUGAAAGCGAACGGAGGUGAGAGCCCGCAAGGGUGCAUCAUCGACCGAUCCUGAAGUCUUCGGAUGGAUUUGAGUAAGAGCGUGGCUGUUGGGACCCGAAAGAUGGUGAACUAUGCCUGAAUAGGGUGAAGCCAGAGGAAACUCUGGUGGAGGCUCGCAGCGGUUCUGACGUGCAAAUCGAUCGUCAAAUUUGGGUAUAGGGGCGAAAGA